rnacentral:rRNA from 1 species
GCUUGCUUCCGCCGACGACCGGCGCACGGGUGCGUAACGCGUAUACAAUCUACCUUAUACUGGGGUAUAGCCUUUAGAAAUGAAGAUUAACCCCCCAUAGUCUCUUAGAGUGGCAUCACUUCUAGAGUAAAGGUUACGGUAUAAGAUGAGUAUGCGUUCUAUUAGUUUGUUGGUGUGGUAACGGCACACCAAGACUACGAUAGAUAGGGGCCCUGAGAGGGGGAUCCCCCACACUGGUACUGAGACACGGACCAGACUCCUACGGGAGGCAGCAGUGAGGAAUAUUGGACAAUGGAGGCAACUCUGAUCCAGCCAUGCCGCGUGCAGGAAGACUGCCCUAUGGGUUGUAAACUGCUUUUAUACAGGAAGAAACACCUCUACGUGUAGAGGCUUGACGGUACUGUAAGAAUAAGGAUCGGCUAACUCCGUGCCAGCAGCCGCGGUAAUACGGAGGAUCCAAGCGUUAUCCGGAAUCAUUGGGUUUAAAGGGUCCGUAGGUGGAUAAUUAAGUCAGAGGUGAAAUCUUGCAGCUCAACUGUAAAAUUGCCUUUGAAACUGGUUAUCUUGAGUUA